rnacentral:lncRNA from 1 species
CAAUUUGAAUUCAAAUCAAAAUCAACCAAUUUCUAUCCUUAAUGGGUGAUAAAAGAAAUAUUAUUUUCUAAUUUUUUCACACACAAACUGAUUUUAUGUGGUGAAAAAAGAUGUGAGAUAAUUUGGGUGGUGCAAGGGAGAGAGUCCUACUCAUUUGGCACUUAGGGUUUAACCAAUUGGAUUUCUUUCAAAUCCAAUCCAAUUAGAUCUAAAUAAAAUAUGAUUAACCUAAUCUAAUUAAGAUCCUAUAAUAUUAAUUAAAUUAAAUUAAAUUAAUAAAUUAAUUGAAUCAUAGAUUCGAUCAAAUCAGGAUCAUUUCUUCCUUACCGAUUAAGUCAUCUAAUAACCUAAUCAGACUUGACCUGCUUGAAUCCAAUUCAAUCAAACUUGAUCCAGACUUUAAUGCUCAAUCAAAUUGAGCUAACUAAUGAUCUAAUCAUUAAUUAAUCUUCCAUUAAUGAUAGAGUCCAAGUCUAGUAAGACUCUUCUCUAGAGUCCUCGUCCAGUGGGACUCUUCACCAGAGUCUCUGUCCACUGGGACUUUUCAAAUUAGCCAUGUGAUCGGAGAGAAACUUCUAAUGUGUGUGACCCCAUAGAUUUGAACCUAAGCUAGUAGCACAGAAAUUAAUUUUUGUAUCAAUUAGAGUAACCAUCUAGCAAUGGUACUCGACGUCUGGAUAGAUCGAAUAUAUGCAAAGCAACACUCAAGAACCUAUUUGGAUAU